UAAUCUGCCUGUCCUUAUCAGGACUCAUCAAUUCCACUUCUAAAAUGAGGUUUCCUGCUCAGCUCCUGGGCUUUUAAUGCUCUGGAUUCCGGGUGAGAACAGAGCGGGAAUAGGAAAGGAGAAAGAGCGUCCAGGAGGGAUGUUGCGAUGACUGAGACACCACUCACUCUUCCUGUCACUCUCGGAGAGCCAGCCACCAUCUCCUGCACUUCAAGGCAGAGACUUCUACAUAGUAAUGGAUAAAACUAUUCGCACUGAUACCGGCAGAAGCCAGGCCAAACUCCAUGGCUUCUGAUCUCUAUGGAUUCUAAUUGGUUCUCUGGGGUCCCAGACAGGUUUGGUGGCAGAGGGUCAGGGACAGAUUUCACUCUUAAAAUCAGCUGGGUGAAGGCUGAGGAUGUUGCAGUUUAUGACUGUCGGCACAGUAUAGAAAACCCUCCAGUGGUACAGCUCUGCAUACAAACCUCUCUGCUUGGGGUGGCCCAGUUGAACAAAUGAGUGGCCUGUGUGGGGAGUAGAACCAGCAGGCUCUCUGAGUCUGCUAAGAGGAAGAAGCUGGAGACCUUAGGGGAAUGUGUUGUAUCUGAGGACUCUGGACCAUGAGUUCCUCUGCUACACUGCCCAUUUGUGACCCAUCAGCUGGACUAGUCUUAACAUGGCAGAGGCAGCAGGGAUGAUGGCAGAGGUCCAUGAGUCUCUGGAGAGCUGACUGAGAGCUCAUCCUAAUCCCCCUGCCUGUGUCCAUUUGUCAGUGAAAUUUAGUCAGCAUGACAGGUAGACAAUUGACACAGACUGUGGCAAUGCAAGUUGAGUACAUGUGGGGGUUUAGCAGGCUUCUUUGUAUGUUUCAUCAGCAUAAUACUUGGUGAUAUUUAGAAAUUAGUAUUGUCCCACUUUCCCAAUCCCCUGCUUCUCACUUUACUGCUUACACUUCCCCUUGAAUUCAGAUAGUUGAAAUAACAUUCUAUAUUAGCUGCCCUCAGAGGGAAUGUGGCUGAGAAGAAUUUGUGAAGAUGUUGGUUUCUGAGCCUCCAAAUAGCAUUUAUAAAUUUAUCCAAGACACAAGAUCCUAAUUCCACCGGUCUUUGAAUUUCCCCAAUUACUUCUUGGUGAGAAAAAUAAGGAGUUCUUGGAAUUUUAACAGUUGGGUUUAAAAAACAAAACAAACUGAAAGAUGUAAGACAUAGAAUUUUCUAAGUCAGCUACCAGAAGGAUACAGAAUGACAUAAAUAUUUUCUUUCCAAAGGUAAGAAUUUUAAUACCGUAGGCGGACUGCAGAAAAUGGAAUCGUGGAGGGCACAUAACAGAGGUCAGCUCUUGGUCUGUGGAUUCUUUCCCAGUUGUGUUUCUCUGUCUGGGCAAGGUCAGUAUUCGGUCCACACAUAUUUUUUGGCAAAUAC